rnacentral:rRNA from 1 species
UGCGUAGGCGGUUUACUAAGACAGAUGUGAAAGCCCCGGGCUUAACCUGGGAACUGCAUUUGAUACUGGUAGGCUAGAGUAUGAUAGAGGGGGGUAGAAUUCCUGGUGUAGCGGUGAAAUGCGUAGAUAUCAGGAGGAAUACCAGUGGCGAAGGCGGCCCCCUGGAUCAAUACUGACGCUGAGGUACGAAAGCGUGGGUAGCGAACA